GAUGAACGCUGGCGGCGUGCCUAAUACAUGCAAGUCGAACUCUUCACUUCGGUGAAGAGUGGCGAACGGGUGCGUAUUACAUAACUAACCUGGCAUCUACAUGGGUAUAACUGCUGGAGACGUCAGCUAAGACCGCAUAGGUGUAGAGAUCGCAUGAACUCUAUUUUAAAAGUUCUACGGGCCUGGUAGAUGAUGGACUUAUGGCGCAUUAGCUUGUUGGUAGGGUAACGGCCUACCAAGGCGACGAUGCGUAGCCGACCUGAGAGGGUGACCGGCCACACUGGGACUGAGACACGGCCCAGACUCCUACGGGAGGCAGCAGUAGGGAAUUUUCGGCAAUGGGGGAAACCCUGACCGAGCAAAGCCGCGUGAAGGAAGAAGUAAUUCGUUAUGUAAACUUCUGUAAUAGAGGAAGAACGGUGGAUAUAGGGAAUGAUAUCCAAGUGACGGUACUAUAUAAGAAAGCCACGGCUAACUACGUG
rnacentral:rRNA from 1 species